UACGGGGGAUGCAAGCGUUAUCCGGAAUUAUUGGGCGUAAAGCGUCCGCAGGUGGUUUGUCAAGUCUGUUGUCAAAGCGUGGGGCUUAACCCCAUAACGGCAAUGGAAACUGAGAGACUAGAGUACGGUAGGGGUAGCGGGAAUUCCCAGUGUAGCGGUGAAAUGCGUAGAUAUUGGGAAGAACACCAGCGGCGAAGGCGCGCUACUGGGCCGAAACUGACACUCAUGGACGAAAGCUAGGGGAGCGAAAGGG
rnacentral:rRNA from 1 species